UACGAGAGCCACUGGGGCAAAUUGGUUACGAGCAUAGAAAACUUUUGAUGUGAGGGGGUUUUCGUUUGAAGCUGGUCAGGUACUACGGAACACAGGUUCCUGAUGAAGUUGAACAACGAAACUGUAUCGAUCGUCGAGCUCAAGAAACGGUACUGUUGUUCAUGUCACUAUCACUGUCAAUAUACAUCCUUGUGAGUCGGUCUUGCUCUCUUCGCCUCAUUUGCCGGUACUGGUGGAAAUCACCGGAUCCAGAACCAGCGGAACUACCAGAGGUGUUGCUAACGCGGACCGGGACGUUCUCCAGGAUUCUUCUAAGCUUUAUCUCUAGAUCUUCGAGCAUCACCGGAGGUUUAUACUCUACGAUAGAUGUCGUGGCGGCAACCACCAAUCUCGUAUCGCCUUCUUGCUUAGGUUUCCCGGUCGACAUCCUCCUGAAAACCAUAACCCGAUGCCAAUUGGGGAUAUCUCUCCCUCUUACGGAUUCCCACACGACUGAAGCUGAAUCUCAGUGGGAAGAACCCUGUCACUUCUCCAUCAUCUAAGCUGGAGGGGGCUACAAUAUCCGCUACAAUAGCUUGAACCUUGAGAGUUUAUUUUGCAUAUAGCCUUUGUUGGCUACUACUACUUUAAAAAUCAAGGAUUGUGCAACUGGGUUCGUGAUUGUAAACUGGUUCCCCUAUGUAACUGUAGGGGUUGCACGGGUACGGAAAGGCGGAAGGCACGCCGUAUCCUUGAGGAGAUAGAUAACAGGGAGGAGGAGGACAUGGAUUACAUGGCGGCGGAGGACAUGGUUUGCAUGGCGGCGGAGGACAUGGAUUGCAUGGCGGCGGAGGACAUGGAUUGCAUGGCGGCGGAGGACAUGGUUUACAUGGCGGCGGAGGACAUGGAUUGCAUGGCGGCGGAGGACAUGGAUUGCAUGGCGGCGGAGGACAUGGUUUACAUGGCGGCGGAGGACAUGCUUUACAUGGCGGCGGAGGACAUGGUUUACAUGGCGGUGGACAUGGUUUACAUGGCGGUGGACAUGGUUUACAUGGCGCGGGCUUCUUCUCCUCUUCUGGCUUCUUUGGAGGUUCGACUUUGCUGACGCUUACAAGCUCUGCAAAGGCUACCUUUUUCCUGAGCAUUUUGGUGAGGCAGAUCAUAUCAACUUCAGUACCUGUUACCUCUAUCUGGUUCCUGUGAUCGCCUUUUAUCUCCACGGCUGAGACACCUAUAAACCAUAGCGUUAGAUCCAACAUCUGUGUGGUUAGUUUGUUUUGUGAGAAGGUCUUCUUACCUUUAAACUGAACUGCUUUUGCCAUAGCUUUUGCUCGGGUCUUGUCAUCAGUCAUAGUCACUCUAAACAGGAUCUUUUGCUGCGUGUGAAAAUGAUAAAUCUUAUCAAGUCAAUCAAAGAAGCCAUAUAAACACUUUCACAAUA